AAUAAUAUUACCACACUCUCCUCCUCUUCAUUUAACACAUCACAAUGUCUAUUGUUUUAUUUUUAUUUAAUUAUCAAUUCCCAAAAAGGAAGGACACCGUCGUUCUCUAUUAGAUCUCCUUGGCUCCGUAUUAUCAUUCUCCACGACAGUCCUUAAUGGGGUUUGUUCAUGUACUUCUUUGACUGUAUUCUCAUCUCUUUCACCCACUACCUCCGAUCCUGGAGCUAAAUGCUUUAGUGCUAUUGUUGCAUCUCUUUCAUUUCGAAGCAGACAUGAGUGUAGCUAGGAUUCACUUAUAUUAAGUCCACCUUUCCAACCAAAGGAUCGUUCUUCUUGCUUCUUACAGGAUUUUUAAGGAGUAAUGUAUCUAUUUGUAAUAACCAUGCUAAUACUGUAUGAUGAAGACUCAUCUUCCGUUGAUAAUUAAACAUUCUUUCAUGGGGAUUAUGAUUAAUAGCAGAACAAAGCAUACCCCCAGACUUGAGAAUUAUGUUACACCCUCCAAACAAUGACGUUAUAUCGUUCUAACUGUCAGUUCCCUUGAGGAUUGUAAUGAGUAGUACAACUUGUAACGACUACUCUUAAAGUGGACCUAUUCUUUUUACAUAAAAGCAAAUCCUCGCUCCGAGUGAAUAUAUCCCGGCAAACAAAAAAUGGCAGCAAAAUUCUGAAAAUAUAUCAUCACUGAUUAAGAGGAGAGGUCUACACAUCGAUAAGCGAAUGGAAAUCUAGAAUACUCAUCUACUCAGAUAAGAAUAUAUUUAUUUUUGCUAUUUGAAUGUAAAGGUCUCUUAAAAUCAAAGCUCAAUCUUUCAAGAGGCUUAGUAGUUUUAAUUAAUUUGUUACGGUCAUUCUUUAUGAAUUUAGGUUUCAAUUCUUGGGAUUCCUUGCAAGUAGAGCUCACUUUCUUGAUAUUUUUGAUAGAAAAUGGUAGAUUAUAUGCACAACUUCUUAUGAAUACUCUGCAGGUUAUCAAAUGAAUUCAUUAUGGGAUGUCAAAAGAAAAGCACGACAAUUCCACCUCCAUCUAUUUUAAUCUAAUGUUUUGAGAUAACACGAAACUCAAACAUUUUUGGUAUGUAAGAAUCAAGAAUGGUUUUCCUAUCAGAAAAUGCCUCCAAGUUCGUAAGGAUUCUACAGUUGCAUAAACAACAUUUUCUACUGCAGAAUGAUGACUCUCAGAUCUAUUAAACGAUCUCGAAAAGAAAAGAACCGGUUUUCUACAUUGACGAAAAAAAAACAAUAGCACUCUCCAAAGUAUCCGUUUGUACUGUUAAUCUUUCUGUAGGAUCAAUAACCGUGAUGACUGCACUUCCAAUAUCCUUCUUCAUUUUUGCAAAAGCCUCUUUCGCUUCUGUAUUUAAAGGAUAAUCUUGAAAGUGUACCAUUGACUGUAACUUCUUUGAGAAAGAGGGUAUCCAUUUAUAAUAAUGUGCAAACAUCCACAAGAUACGUCGUAACUCUCUCUUAUUCCUAAGUUCAGAAAUUGUCAUGAUAGACUCCAGUCUAUCUGUAUCCCAUUUCAUCAUACAAUUUUCAGAUUUUCAAAUCAAAACACAUCCAUAAAGAACUUUUUUUUUACAAUUGAAGGUAAGAUUUUUGUGAAGAGGAAUGAAAUGCAAAAUUGAAUAUAUCUUAGAAUACCAAAUCCUUAACUUUUUUCAUUUUGAAUACUCUAGAACUUAGGUAAGGAUUUCCAACUACUCUCUAUUUUCUGGAGUUGUUCUCUUUUCACGUCCUGUUUGGAGUCUCCGGGGACUUUUGUAACCAUUGUUUUUGUAUUGAUAUUUAUAAAUACUAUAUUAUAUUCUUAAAUUAUCAAAAUAAAAGUAUGGUAACCUUA
rnacentral:lncRNA from 1 species